UACGGAGGGUGCUAGCGUUGUUCGGAAUCACUGGGCGUAAAGCGCGUGUAGGCGGCCCCCUAAGUCUGAUGUGAAAGCCCGGGGCUCACCCCCGGAAGUGCAUUGGAAACUGGUGGACUCGAGUCCCGGAGAGGAGAGUGGAAUUCCUGGUGUAGCGGUGAAAUGCGUAGAUAUCAGGAGGAACACCGGUGGCGAAGGCGGCUCUCUGGACGGUGACUGACGCUGAGACGCGAAAGCGUGGGGAGCAAACAGG
rnacentral:rRNA from 1 species